AGAAUUUACUAACGCCUCUAUGCUGUUAGAACAAGGUACAUAUUACAAAAUACUAACAAAAUCUACUAAUGCCAAAAUGCCGUUAGAAUUUACUAACAUUUGUUUGCCGUUAAAAAAAAAAAAUUCUAACGGCUAUCGACCGUUACAACAGUACCCGUUACUAAAUACUAACGCCCAUUUGCUAACGCACAAAUGCCAUU
rnacentral:lncRNA from 1 species